rnacentral:rRNA from 1 species
UACCAAACAGCUAGCCCCACCGACUAAAAACAACAAAUCACUAUGAAUAACCCAUCAUAUAUUAUAUUUUGACAAAACAAACCAUUUUUCCCCCCGAGUAUGGGAGACAGAAAAGGACCUGUGGAGCAAUAGAGAAAGUACCGCAAGGGAACGCUGAAAGAGAAAUGAAAAAACCCAGUAAAGUUGAGAAAAGCAGAGAUUAAACCUUGUACCUUUUGCAUCAUGAUUUAGCCAGAAAUACCCAAGCAAAGAGCACUUUAGUUUGCCACCCCGAAACUAAGUGAGCUACUCCAAGACAGCCUAUUAAAGGGCCAACCCGUCUCUGUGGCAAAAGAGUGGGAAGAUCUUCGAGUAGAGGUGACAGACCUAUCGAACUUAGUCAUAGCUGGUUGUCUAGGAAUCGAAUAGAAGUUCAGCCUCCUGGCUUCUUAUCUCGCCUUACCUCAGUACCCCCGAGACUAAAGAAACCAAGAGAGUUAGUUAAAGGGGGUACAGCCCCUUUAACAUAAGAUACAACUUUUUCAGGAGGGUAAAGAUCACAAUUACCAAAGGCAAAAUGUUAUGGUGGGCCUAAAAGCAGCCAUCCAAUAGAAAGCGUUAAAGCUCAGACAUUUAACUUGAGCCCCAAAUCCCGAUAAUUUAUUCUUAACCCCCUAACCCUACUAGACCUCCUCAUGCAACCAUGAGGGCGAUUAUGCUAAUAUGAGUAAUAAGAAAGCCCAGACUUUCUCCUAGCACAAGUGUACAUCGGAACGAACCCGCACCGAAUAUUACCGGCCCCAAUUUAAGAGGGGAAUGAAAAAUAAAUAAAUAACUAGAAAAACAAUCAACACCCUACCGUUAACCCUACACUGGCGUGCACCUAAGGAAAGACUAAAAGAAAAAGAAGGAACUCGGCAAACACAAGCCUCGCCUGUUUACCAAAAACAUCGCCUCUUGCAAAAAUAAAGAAUAAGAGGUCACGCCUGCCCUGUGACAAUAGUUUAACGGCCGCGGUAUUUUGACCGUGCAAAGGUAGCGCAAUCACUUGUCUUUUAAAUGAAGACCUGUAUGAAUGGCACGACGAGGGCUUAACUGUCUCCUUUUUCAAGUCAAUAAAAUUGAUCCCCCCGUGCAGAAGCGGGGAUAAAACCAUAAGACGAGAAGACCCUAUGGAGCUUUAGACACGAAAGCAGUUCUUGUUAAGCCUCCUAAAACAAAAGGCCAAACCAAAAGAAACCUGCUGUAAUGUCUUUGGUUGGGGCGACCGCGGGGAAACAAAAAACCCCCAAGUGGAAUGAGAAUACCCCUCUCACAACCAAGAGCCACAGCUCUAAUUAACAGAACAUCUGACCAUAUGAUCCGGCAACGCCGAUCAACGGACCGAGUUACCCUAGGGAUAACAGCGCAAUCCCCUUUUAGAGCCCAUAUCGACAAGGGGGUUUACGACCUCGAUGUUGGAUCAGGACAUCCUAAUGGUGCAGCCGCUAUUAAGGGUUCGUUUGUUCAACGAUUAAAGUCCU